rnacentral:lncRNA from 1 species
UGUUCUUGAAAGUAAGGUUUCUUCAGUGAUAACUCUUCUUGAAUUUUCAUCCUUCUUACUCUGGCUUCUUCUUGUCUCUUUUUCACCGAUACAGGGCAGAUGGAUUUCUCAUGGUUCAAACGGUGACAAGUAAAGCAACGUUUCUGAACAUUUUCAUAGUCGAAGUGAAUCACCGUUGAUUUGCCCUCCCCCAGAUCGAGAGUUUUUGCCAUUCUCAGAGGAUUUGCUACAUUGAACUUGACUUGCACCCUCACAAAAGGUUGAGUAAUCGGCUUCGACGGAUCAAAGGCAACCACGAUGGUUUUACCCACGAUAUCACCCAGAGCCGUAAGAGCCACCUCUGUGUAAUAGUUCACCGGUAUCUUGCUUAUUUGAACCCACAAAUUAACGUACUGCAGAUAAUCCUCAGGCGGAUUCUCA